rnacentral:rRNA from 1 species
CCUACGGGAGGCAGCAGUAGGGAAUAUUGGACAAUGGGCGCAAGCCUGAUCCAGCCAUGCCGCGUGAGUGAAGAAGGCCCUCGGGUUGUAAAGCUCUUUUGUCCGGAAAGAAAAGCGCUGGGUUAAUACCCUGGUGUCCUGACGGUACCGGAAGAAUAAGCACCGGCUAACUUCGUGCCAGCAGCCGCGGUAAUACGAAGGGUGCAAGCGUUACUCGGAAUUACUGGGCGUAAAGCGUGCGUAGGUGGUUUGUUAAGUCUGAUGUGAAAGCCCUGGGCUCAACCUGGGAAUUGCAUUGGAUACUGGCAGGCUAGAGUGCGGUAGAGGGUAGUGGAAUUCCCGGUGUAGCAGUGAAAUGCGUAGAGAUCGGGAGGAACAUCUGUGGCGAAGGCGACUACCUGGACCAGCACUGACACUGAGGCACGAAAGCGUGGGGAGCAAACAGGAUUAGAUACCCUGGUAGUCCACGCCCUAAACGAUGCGAACUGGAUGUGGCUCAACGUUGGAGCUCAGUAGUACGAGACGUAACGACGUUAACGUUACGUCCGCCGUCGGGUAAGGUACGGUCGUUCGAGUACGUUAGAACGUACGAAGGAAGUUAGGACGGCGNGAGACGCGCCGACGGACGACGACGGAGGGAGGAGG